GAUGAACGCUGGCGGCGUGCCUAAUACAUGCAAGUCGAGCGAACAGACGAGGAGCUUGCUCCUCUGACGUUAGCGGCGGACGGGUGAGUAACACGUGGAUAACCUACCUAUAAGACUGGGAUAACUUCGGGAAACCGGAGCUAAUACCGGAUAAUAUAUUGAACCGCAUGGUUCAAUAGUGAAAGACGGUUUUGCUGUCACUUAUAGAUGGAUCCGCGCCGCAUUAGCUAGUUGGUAAGGUAACGGCUUACCAAGGCAACGAUGCGUAGCAGACCUGAGAGGGUGAGCGGCCGCACUGGAACUGAGACACGGUCCAGACUCCUAGGGGAGGCAGCAGUAGGGAAUCUUCCGCAAUGGGCGAAAGCUUGACGGAGCAACGCCGCGUGAGUGAUGAAGGUCUUCGGAUCGUAAAACUCUGUUAUUAGGGAAGAACAAAUGUGUAAGUAACUAUGCACGUCUUGACGGUACCUAAUCAGAAAGCCACGGCUAACUACGUG
rnacentral:rRNA from 1 species